CCUACGGGAGGCUGCAGUGGGGAAUAUUGGGCAAUGGGCGCAAGCCUGACCCAGCAACGCCGCGUGAAGGAAGAAGGCCCUCCGGUUGGAAACUUCUUUUGUCAGGGACGAAACAAAUGACGGUACCUGACGAAUAAGCCACGGCUAACUACGUGCCAGCAGCCGCGGGAAUACGGAGGUGGCAAGCGUUAUCCGGAUUGACUGGGUGUAAAGGGCGUGUAGGCGGGAGAGCAAGUCAGAUGUGAAAUUCCAGGGCUCAACCCUGGAACUGCAUUUGAAACUGUUUUUCUUGAGUGAUGGAGAGGCAGGCGGAAUGCCGUGUGUAGCGGUGAAAUGCGUAGAUAUCCGGCGGAACACCGGUGGCGAAGGCGGCCUGCUGGACAUUAACUGACGCUGAGGCGCGAAAGCGUGGGGAGCAAACAGGAUUAGAUACCCUUGUAGUC
rnacentral:rRNA from 1 species